CCUACGGGUGGCUGCAGUGGGGAAUUUUGCGCAAUGGGCGAAAGCCUGACGCAGCAACGCCGCGUGUGUGAUGAAGGUCUUCGGAUUGUAAAGCACUUUCGACCGGGACGAACACCCUGAAGCUAACAUCUUCAGGCCUGACGGUACCGGGAGAAGAAGCACCGGCUAACUCUGUGCCAGCAGCCGCGGUAAUACAGAGGGUGCAAGCGUUGUUCGGAAUUAUUGGGCGUAAAGCGCGUGUAGGCGGCUUUGCAAGUCGGGUGUGAAAGCCCUCA
rnacentral:rRNA from 1 species